rnacentral:lncRNA from 1 species
GAUCGUGCUGUAAUUGAAAACACUUAACAGCAUCACAAGACGAAGUUAACUUUAAGGCUUUAAGCUUCGAAUGUAAGCAAACCAUUGGUGAGGAAGAUGGAUAAUCAGGGGUCAAGCCACAUGAUCACCUUCCGGGAGCCACUCUCCUGAGUUCCUGAUGUUCUGCCUUACUGAACAAAGCUUGCAUAGCCUUGGUGCUGAAGAUGCGUAUGGUGAACCAUCCAGAAAGCGCACACCCUCACAUCCCUGAGAUCUGUUGCUCAGGACAGAGGACACAUGCUAUUGCCUAUACUCAUCUUUCAAAAUCAUCAACAUGAUUGUUCAUGAUUUUUUUUCCAUCUGCCUGGAAAUGGAGAUGACCUUGGAAGACACACCCUGACUACAUCCUGUCUAUAUUGACCAGGCUCCCUGUGGAGCAAAACCCCUAUUUCAUAUCCCAUGCAGAAUAUAAAGAAAAUACAGCUACUAU